AGAGUUUGAUCCUGGCUCAGAACGAACGCUGGCGGCGUGCUUAACACAUGCAAGUCGAACGCGAAAGGGACUUCGGUCCUGAGUAGAGUGGCGCACGGGUGAGUAACGCGUAAGUAAUCUACCCCGGCAUCUGGAAUAACUCACCGAAAGGUGUGCUAAUACCGGAUACGUUGGUAACAAGAAAGGUGGCCUCUGCAUAUGCUACCGUGCUGGGAUGAGCUUGCGUACCAUUAGCUAGUUGGUAGGGUAAUGGCCUACCAAGGCGACGAUGGUUAGCGGGUCUGAGAGGAUGAUCCGCCACACUGGAACUGGAACACGGACCAGACUCCUACGGGAGGCAGCAGUGAGGAAUAUUGCGCAAUGGGGGCAACCCUGACGCAGCGACGCCGCGUGGAUGAUGAAGGCCUUCGGGUCGUAAAAUCCUGUCAGGUGGAAAGAAGUGCAUGGCGGCUAAUAUCCGCCAUGUUUGACGGUACCACCGAAGGAAGCACCGGCUAACUCCGUGCCAGCAGCCGCGGUAAUACGGAGGGUGCAAGCGUUGUUCGGAAUUACUGGGCGUAAAGCGCGCGUAGGCGGUUUGUUAAGUCAGAUGUGAAAGCCCUCGGCUCAACCGGGGACGUGCAUUUGAAACUGGCAGACUUGAGUACUGGAGGGGGUGGUGGAAUUCCCGGUGUAGAGGUGAAAUUCGUAGAUAUCGGGGAGGAAUACCGGUGGCGAAGGCGACCACCUGGCCAGAUACUGACGCUGAGUGCGAAAGCGUGGGGAGCAAACAGGAUUAGAUACCUUGGUAGUCCACGCCGUAACGAUGAGAACUAGGCGUGGGACGGUUAAUCGUCUCAUUGCCGCACUAACGCAUUAAGUUCUCCGCCCUGGGAGUACGGUCGCAAGGAUCAAACCUCAAAACGCAUUUGACG
rnacentral:rRNA from 1 species